rnacentral:lncRNA from 1 species
CGAGGCUUCGAGGCAUCGCCCGUAUCAUGACCGGCUAAGUUUAUGCUCUGCGUCCCUUCUGUCUCUCCCUUCAAGUUUUGAUCAGGCCUUGGCUUGGAUUGAUGGAUUUCUUGGCAAUGGCCUAAAGCUAGGUUUUCAUAGGUCUAGGUUUGGUCACGGUUUUCUGUAUGUGCUCUCUUUAUCUUUCACUUUUUUCUUUGGCCUACACGUCCCACUUUCUCUAAUUUCUCGGUCUACA